rnacentral:rRNA from 1 species
UACGAAGGGGGCUAGCGUUGUUCGGAAUCACUGGGCGUAAAGGGCGCGUAGGCGGCUUUAUAAGUCGGGGGUGAAAGCCUGUGGCUCAACCACAGAAUUGCCUUCGAUACUGUAGAGCUUGAGACCGGAAGAGGUAAGUGGAACUGCGAGUGUAGAGGUGAAAUUCGUAGAUAUUCGCAAGAACACCAGUGGCGAAGGCGGACUUGACUG